rnacentral:rRNA from 1 species
GCUUACUACUGCCAACCCAUUAACAGUAUUGAAUAAUUUCAUAAAUUAUGAAAACUACCAUGCUAGAACUAGUAACAAGAAAAUGAAUUUCUCCAAAGUGUAAACAUAAACCAAAACGGACAACCCAUUGGUAAUUAACGACUCUGAACCCAUUAUAGCAAAACAUCUAGAAAACCCUAUACUUAAUACCGUUAACCUUACACAAGAACUCUUCUGGAAAGAUUAAAAGGAAGAGAAGGAACUCGGCAAAUUUUAACCCCGCCUGUUUACCAAAAACAUCGCCUCUUGCUUAGUUAUAAGAGGUCCCGCCUGCCCAGUGUUUCAAUCAACGGCCGCGUGAUCUAAACGCGCGAAGGUAGCAUAAUAAUUUGUUCUUUAAAUGAGGACUUGUAUCAAUGGCAUCACGAGGGUUAUACUGUCUCCUCUCCCCAAUCAGUGAAACUAAUCUCCCUGUGAAAAAGCAGGAAUAAGAACAUAAGACGAGAAGACCCCAUGGAGCUUAAAACAAGGCAGCAAUUCAAUAACAAAAUCAGAACAAUCUUAAGCCCUGUAUGCCAGUUUUAGGUUGGGGUGACCACGGAGCAAAGCAAAGCCUCCACAACGAGAAGGGAUUAUUCCCUUACCCAAGAGACACGCCUCUAAGAAUUAUUAAAAUAACGUCUAAUGAUCCGAUUAUCGACCAAUGGACCAAGUUACCCUGGGGAUAACAGCGCAAUCCACUCUGAGAGCUCCUAUCGACGAGUGGGCUUACGACCUCGAUGUUGGAUCAGGAUAUCCCAGUGGUGCAGCCGCUACUAAAG